UACAGAGGUCCCGAGCGUUGUUCGGAUUCACUGGGCGUAAAGGGUGCGUAGGUGGUGCGGAAAGUCGGAUGUGAAAUCUCCGGGCUUAACCCGGAAAUGGCAUUGGAAACUACCUUGCUAGAGGUUUUGAGGGGGGACUGGAAUUCUCGGUGUAGCAGUGAAAUGCGUAGAUAUCGAGAGGAACACCGGUGGCGAAGGCGGGUCUCUGGGCCGAUAUUGACGCUGAGGAGCGAAAGCGUGGGGAGCGAACAGG
rnacentral:rRNA from 1 species